GGGGGACGAGGGUGACAGGUGGUGCAUGGUUGUCGUCAGCUCGUGUCGUGAGAUGUUGGGUUAAGUCCCGCAACGAGCGCAACCCUCGACCUUAGUUGCCAGCAUUCAGUUGGGCACUCUAAGGUGACUGCCGGCUAAAAGUCGGAGGAAGGUGGGGGAUGACGUCAAAUCAUCAUGCCCCUUAUGACCUGGGCUACACACGUGCUACAAUGGGCGGUACAAAGGGUCGCGAACCCGCGAGGGGGAGCCAAUCCCAAAAAGCCGCUCUCAGUUCGGAUUGCAGGCUGCAACUCGCCUGCAUGAAGCCGGAAUCGCUAGUAAUCGCGGAUCAGCACGCCGCGGUGAAUACGUUCCCGGGCCUU
rnacentral:rRNA from 1 species